AUGUCCGCCCGGUUACAAGAAGGCGACGAGCAAAGGGGAACAAGGAUGCCAAAGCGUGGCCAUGAGCGACUUUACCUUGUCUUUGAUGACUGGUGCCAUGGAUACAGCAUCCGCAUGGUAAACUUGUUGCAGCAUACUGCUGGCUCAGGCCAUCCAGCCCCGGUGCAUUUUUCCGAGCCUUUCUGCCGCAUAAUGGCGCCUCUCGUGUCGUACUUCACGUCAGCCUUUGGCUCUAAGAUUUUGGCGGUGUUUUCCAGAGAUCCCGAAGCUGACUCUGAGAGCUACUUCCCAAUGUUGGACGUUCGCUCGCGGUGCGUCACCUUUGCCCCUGGGCAGGGAUGUCCUAUUCCUCCCAUCUACUACCUACCUGUCGGCAACGAGUUAUUCAGUCUGAGCUUCUGCUCCUUCGAGAUGCUCUGCUCGGAGGAGCUCUCCCCUCGGUUGCAGGAUCAGUCUUGCAGCAUGGCUUGGUCAUGGAAACAGCUCUCUGAGAAACCGCCAUUCUAUGUUGAUAACGUCACCUCCUACUCUUUGCAUCCUCAAGAACGGACCUUCCUCUUCAGCACCAAGACUGGCGCCACUGAGGCCACCUACACCUUUGACACCGAGAAACGUUCAUGGAAACUCCUUGGCUAUUGGAAGCUGCCCUUUGCUGGCUGCGGUCACUUUGACCUGGGGCUCAACUGCUUUGUCGGGCUCUCCAAAGAACCGAACACCCUUGGACAACUUUACAGCUGCGAAGUGCCCAUCUAUGACACUGAUGAUGGAAUCACGACUUGCAUGUCGUGA
rnacentral:rRNA from 1 species